GAUGAACGCUGGCGGCGUGCCUAAUACAUGCAAGUCGAGCGAACAGACGAGGAGCUUGCUCCUUCGACGUUAGCGGCGGACGGGUGAGUAACACGUAGGUAACCUACCUCUAUGACUGGGAUAACUUCGGGAAACCGGAGCUAAUACCGGCUAAUACUUCGAACCGCAUGGUUCGAUAGUGAUAGAUAGCUUUGCUAUCACUUAUAGAUGGACCUGCGUCGUAUUAGCUAGUUGGUAAGGUAACGGCUUACCAAGGCAACGAUACGUAGCCGACCUGAGAGGGUGAUCGGCCACACUGGAACUGAGACACGGUCCAGACUCCUACGGGAGGCAGCAGUAGGGAAUCUUCCGCAAUGGGCGAAAGCCUGACGGAGCAACGCCGCGUGAGUGAUGAAGGUCUUCGGAUCGUAAAGCUCUGUUAUUAGGGAAGAACAAACGUGUAAGUAACUGUGCACGUCUUGACGGUACCUAAUCAGAAAGCCACGGCUAACUACGUG
rnacentral:rRNA from 1 species